AUCUACGGCCAUGCUACCCUGAACAAGCCCAAUCCCAUCUGAUUUCGGAAGCUAAGCAGGGUUGAGCCUGGUUAGUAGUCAGAUGAGAGACCACCUAGGAAGGCCAGGUGCUAUAGGCG
rnacentral:rRNA from 1 species